rnacentral:rRNA from 1 species
GACGAACGCUGGCGGCGUGCUUAACACAUGCAAGUCGAACGGAAAGGCCCUGCUUUUGUGGGGUGCUCGAGUGGCGAACGGGUGAGUAACACGUGAGUAACCUGCCCUUGACUUUGGGAUAACUUCAGGAAACUGGGGCUAAUACCGGAUAGGAGCUCCUGCUGCAUGGUGGGGGUUGGAAAGUUUCGGCGGUAGGGGAUGGACUCGCGGCUUAUCAGCUUGUUGGUGGGGUAGUGGCUUACCAAGGCUUUGACGGGUAGCCGGCCUGAGAGGGUGACCGGCCACAUUGGGACUGAGAUAGGGACCAGACUCCUACGGGAGGCAGCAGUGGGGAAUAUUGCACAAUGGGCGGAAGCCUGAUGCAGCAACGCCGCGUGCGGGAUGACGGCCUUCGAGUUAUAAACCGCUUUCGCCUGUGACGAAGCGUGAGUGACGGUAAUGGGUAAAGAAGCAACGGCUAACUACGUG